UGCGCCACAGUAAAAAAUGUGGUGUUCAUAUUUCAGUGUUAACCUAAUUUAAUCUAAAUAGAGUAUUUAUAACUAUAUGGAGUGUAAAUCGGCUCUGACAUUGGAGUUAAAAGUCAGAGUAAAAUGCUACAUUCACGCAGUGAAACUUUUGACUCCGUCAAGUGUCAAUAAUGCGCCAGUAAAGAUUUUUGGCAAGAGGAGGAGGAGGAGGAAGAAAGGAGACGAAGCACCAGUUUUCUGAAGUUGGUGAGGCUGUUUCCAUUUUGGAUUCUGAACGGAGUUGUGCUACAGAAAAGAUCAUGGUUUUGUUUGGUGGGGAGCAGAAGUACGUGAAACUUUCUGACCUAACAUUUGAUGCAUUUGUGAGAGAAGUGUGCCUGAAAUUCAACAUUCCAGAAGGCAGACAGCAAGAUCUGAAGAAGACGAAACCACUGCUGAAGGAAGCCAACCUAAAAGGCCAUGUCACAUAAAUUAUGUGCCGCAAGCGUUGAUUGAAAGAGUCUCAACAACAAAGCCUGGUGGUGAGCAUAUGAUGCAAGAACUAAAUGCUUGACAGAUGCAACCAGAAGACAGAUGAUAAACAUCCUUACAGCUGCAAUGACAGAAGCACAUGGGUAAGAAUCAUACACUUAGACUAUAAGGAAACAUUUUGGUUUUGAAUUGUUCUUCAUUAUUUUUUCAAACAUCAGUUUAGUGACUCAUUGUUUGAUCAUAUAUCAGAUCAUCUCCUCCUAAAGGUGUCAGAGUGAUGUAUGCUCAGGGGUUCGUUGCCCUAUUUCCCUAUCUGGAGGACCCGUUUUCAAAACAUGGAUAUGUUAAAUGGACUGAACUUUCCAGUCAUUUUUGACCACUCAAAGCGCUUUACACUAGAGUCACAUUCACCCAGUCGCACUC